GCGUCGCCAGCAUUUCAACGAACUUUCGUUUGCAAAAGAAACUAAUUAAAUGGGUUAAAUUACAUACUUACACCACUGCGUUUUGCAAAUUGGACCUGAAGGUUUUCCCCUGUGUUUCAUUUUAGUGCGCGAACUACCUGCCUUCGAGAAAGUCCUCGAGUUCUGCGCUCGUUUCAACAAUAUUUAACUUCUUCCAAACUACGCGCAAAGCUCGAAUCGAUGUUUAUUUAACGAAGAGGAACUUACGAACCGGUGAGAGGAACUUACGAACAUUUUGCGAGUAACAAACCGGAACAGCGAUCUACCUCAAGGUCAACCUUCGACCGGAAGUGAGUGUCAAGUUAGCAACGCCGAACAAUAACCCGACAAACGAAACGCAAUACGACCAAUGAUUUUUCGCGUCACGAGCGAAAUCCCGCGAGCUUAUUUAGUUUUAUUCCGAGUGGAACGGGGCAAACACGCCCGGGCCGAAAGAGGAGAUAUUUACACGGCAAACAGAGCGGCUCUCUGCAGGAGUUGAGUUGCACGCCGGGAUUUUUUGCCCGCUGGAAAAACAAGGUAAUGCACAGGAUGGUUUUCACGAGGUGUUAUAAUGAAGCGUUUCCCCCCGAGUGAGGAGGGGGUGGGGGAGAUCAACGCGCGUGACAAAAUUACGUUUCAACGAAAUCAAACAUCGGAUAGGCGGCGCACUGAGUCCCGUCAGGGCCUGUGUUUGUUCACCUCGAGCACCAGCUUGCAAAAAUUUGUUUAUAGAAAGCACGGGAGCAUGGAGGUACGUAUUGUUAUUUUACGCCAUGGAGAUUCGACGGAUAGGAGUAACGACCGCGGCUGUAUCCGGCUGCACGCACUAUUUCAAAGGCAUUAAACAUGGAAAAAGAUUGGCAGGUACACGUGCAUGGUGAAACGCACUGGGUUGAAAAGCGUGCCUUUUCACGAGCAUGGGAUUUCGGAACGUGGAAUCUGAACGCCGAUAAAUAUUACAUCGCCCCGCCGCUUGAUAGAGAUUUUGGUUGAAAAAGAGGGGGGGGGGGGGAAGAGAACACCAGAGAAGCUUGGACAUUUAUUGUCGGUUAAAGACGAGGAAGAAGUUAAAUAGAUAUGCAUGGGGAAGCAGAAUAACUUUGACGACCAGGAUUUACGUUUUUCAAGAUACUUUCACGGAAAAGCUUUAGAAGCCCCGGAACAUGCGAACAAAGGACAAUUGUCUUACUUUGUUUAGCCCUCAGUUACAGCCACAAUAUAUACCAACGUGUAUUUUUCUCGCAAAGAUGCGAGACACUCUCGGCUUUACACAUUGGAAAUUCCAUUGAGAAUUUUCCGCGCAACGAAACAUUUCUGCCACGUUGUCCUGCGGAGUAAUGCGCUCGUUAAUCGACGCCUGAAAAUGCGAAAAGAAUCGACGAGGCCCGAGCUCGUAUUGGCUCUCGUUCCCGUUUUUCCGCAGCAUAAAUGGCAUGCUUGAAACAUCGCAUGGAGAUUGCUCCUUUCUUACACCCCCUCUCCCUUAUUUCCUUCUCAGGAUUUUGGAUACGCCGUGCCGUUUCGAUCUCGAAGUCGGUCAACUUUCGAAUUAAAGAUUCUGCCGGCAGACUCGCGCCGGAAGAGACUGAUCGCAGCGAGGAACGUGAAAGGCGACGAACAGGGGAGAGCAGCUUUCAAUCCAAAUCCUCCCCCCGUAUUGUACAGAGGAUGGAACCUCCGUUGCGACCCGCAUAUGAAAUUAUAAAAGAUUAUUCUUGUUCGAACGAGCGUAUGCCCGAUGCACAGAAUUAAUUUAUUAUCAUCGGCAAUCUCGGCCAUUUUGCUUUCGCGGAUGAAAGGAGCCGGGAGCGCGCUCGCGUGCGCGUACAAAGCGGACAAAGCUGCUAAUUAUACAAAUUACGAAGACCGUCCGCGCGUUUCAUCACUCGAUUUUAAUCGGCAAAAUAAUCAUGUCCCCUGGCAGAGGACGGCCACCCUCUCUGUUGAACUCUGUCGAACGACGCUUGUUAAAGUCCAUCGAGCUUCUCCGGGAUCGAAUCGACUUUCGAAAAAAAGAA